rnacentral:misc_RNA from 1 species
UGCUAAAAUGAAUAAGCCGAGAUAGUUUUUUGCCCAAAAGAAAAAAAAAAGGUUCCCUCUAUUACAUUUCACAUGAAAGAGGUAAAGAAAAGCCAAUAAUUUUUAGCGGAAAAAGUAAUGACUGUUAUGAUCGUUACUGAACGGUUGAUAACGGCCAUUAUCAGUUACCUUUAAGUAACGGCUGUAACGAUUUUUACGUGUGCAAAUUUUAAAAUCCAUUAAAUAGCAGUGGUAACGGUAACUGUAAGCCAAAAAAAAACUUUUAAAUAAUGGCCAUUACGUAACGUAACGGCUGUUAUUUAA